CCUACGGGAGGCAGCAGUAGGGAAUCUUCCACAAUGGGCGAAAGCCUGAUGGAGCAACGCCGCGUGGGUGAAGAAGGUCCUCGGAUCGUAAAACCCUGUUUUCAGAGAAGAAAGUGCGUGAGAGUAACUGGUCACGCUUCGACGGUAUCUAACCAGAAAGCCACGUCUAACUACGUGCCAGCAGCUGCGGUAAUACGGAGGAUGCGAGCGUUAUCCGGAUUGAUUGGGUUUAAAGGGUGCGUAGGCGGAAUAUCAAGUCAGCGGUAAAAAUUCGGGGCUCAACCCCGUCGUGCCGUUGAAACUGAUGUUCUUGAGUGGACAAGAGGCAUGCGGAAUGCGUGGUGUAGCGGUGAAAUGCAUAGAUAUCACGAAGAACUCCGAUUGCGAAGGCAGCAUGCCGGCGCCCAACUGACGCUGAAGCACGAAAGCGUGGGUAUCGAACAGGAUUAGAUACCCGUGUAGUC
rnacentral:rRNA from 1 species